rnacentral:rRNA from 1 species
UCUGUCCAAGAUUAGCCAUGCAUGUCUAAGUAUAAAUAACUACACAGUAAAACUGCGAAUGGCUCAUUAAAACAGUUAUAGUUUAUUUGAUACAUAAAAUGGAUAACUGUAGAAAAACUAGAGCUAAUACAUGCCAUAACCGCAAGGUUGUAUUUAUUAGAUAUACCAAAGUGGGUGAAUCAUAAUAACUUCGCAAAUCGCAGCCACGCUGCGAUAAAUCAUUCAAGUUUCUGCCCUAUCAUGCUUUCGAUGGUAGUGUAUUGGACUACCAUGGCUCUCACGGGUAACGGGGAAUUAGGGUUCGAUUCCGGAGAAGGAGCCUGAGAAACGGCUACUACAUCUACGGAAGGCAGCAGGCGCGUAAAUUACCCAAUCCUGACUCAGGGAGGUAGUGACAAGAUAUAACGACGCGACUAAAAAUCGCGAUUGUAGUGAGGGUAUUCCAAACCGAACCACUAGUACGAUUGGAGGGCAAGUCUGGUGCCAGCAGCCGCGGUAAU